rnacentral:lncRNA from 1 species
AACAACUAUUAUACCAGUAUUUCCUUCGAAACCAUCCAUUUCAGUCAAUAGUUGGUUCAGGGUCUGUUCCCUUUCAUCAUUUCCUCCUCCAAUUCCAGUCCCUCUUUGCCGCCCAACAGCAUCAAUUUCAUCAACAAAUACAAUGCAAGGAGCAUUUUCCUUGGCCUUCUUGAAAAGAUCACGCACUCGAGAGGCUCCAACACCAACAAACAUCUCAACGAAUUCUGAACCUGAAAUUGAGAAAAAUGGAACACCCGCUUCACCAGCAAUUGCCUUUGCUAGCAAGGUUUUCCCAGUACCAGGAGGACCAACAAGAAGAACACCUUUUGGAAUACGAGCCCCUACUGCAGUAAAUCUCUCAGGUUUCUUCAAAAAUUCUACGACCUCCAUAAAAUCUUGUUUUGCUUCAUCUACACCAGCAACAUCAUCAAAUGU